GAUGAACGCUGGCGGCGCGCCUAAUACAUGCAAGUCGAGCGAAUGGAUUAAGAGCUUGCUCUUAUGAAGUUAGCGGCGGACGGGUGAGUGACACGUGGGUAACCUGCCCAUAAGACUGGGAUAACUCCGGGAAACCGGGGCUAAUACCGGAUAACAUUUUGAACCGCAUGGUUCGAAAUUGAAAGGCGGCUUCGGCUGUCACUUAUGGAUGGACCCGCGUCGCAUUAGCUAGUUGGUGAGGUAACGGCUCACCAAGGCAACGAUGCGUAGCCGACCUGGGAGGGUGAUCGGCCACACUGGGACUGAGACACGGCCCAGACUCCUACGGGAGGCAGCAGUAGGGAAUCUUCCGCAAUGGACGAAAGUCUGACGGAGCAACGCCGCGUGAGUGAUGAAGGCUUUCGGGUCGUAAAACUCUGUUGUUAGGGAAGAACAAGUGCUAGUUGAAUAAGCUGGCACCUUGACGGUACCUAACCAGAAAGCCACGGCUAACUACGUGCCAGCCGCCGCAGUAA
rnacentral:rRNA from 1 species